rnacentral:rRNA from 1 species
GUGGGGAAUAUUGGACAAUGGGCGAAAGCCUGAUCCAGCCAUGCCGCGUGUGUGAAGAAGGUCUUCGGAUUGUAAAGCACUUUAAGCUGGGAGGAAGGGCAGUAAGUUAAUACCUUGCUGUUUUGACGUUACCGACAGAAUAAGCACCGGCUAACUUCGUGCCAGCAGCCGCGGUAAUACGAAGGGUGCAAGCGUUAAUCGGAAUUACUGGGCGUAAAGCGCGCGUAGGUGGUUUUGUAAGUUGGAGGUGAAAUCCCCGGGCUCAACCUGGGAACUGCCUCCAAAACUGCAUGACUAGAGUACGGUAGAGGGUAGUGGAAUUUCCUGUGUAGCGGUGAAAUGCGUAGAUAUAGGAAGGAACACCAGUGGCGAAGGCGACUACCUGGACUGAUACUGACACUGAGGUGCGAAAGCGUGGGGAGCAAACAGGAUUAGAUACCCGGGUAGUCC